rnacentral:snRNA from 1 species
AUAAAUAUGGAAUGCUUCACGAAUUUGCAUGUCAUCCUUGCUCAGGGGCCAUGCUAAUCUCUGUAUCAUUCCAGUUUUAGUACAUGUGCUGACAAAGUGAGCGC